rnacentral:rRNA from 1 species
GAGAAGUGAAAGGUUUCCGUAGGUGACCUGCGGAAGGAUCAUUGUCGAGGCCCGAACGGACGAUCGCGAACCCGUAGAGCGCCCGUGGGGAGCGGUAAGGGGGCGACACCCGUCGUCGCCUCCGCCUCCGUGGGUGCCCCUGCCGCCGUCGCCCUGCACGUCGUGCAGGACGAGCGGCGGGAACAUUUUCCGGCGCGGUGCGCGCCAAGGAGCAGCCUCGUUUGGGUAGCGUUGACGGCGCGCGACGAGCGUAGCAUCGCACCGCGCGACGCGACCUGGUACGUCCAACCUGCACGACUCCCGGCAACGGAUAUCUUGGCUCUCGCAUCGAUGAAGAGCGUAGCGAAAUGCGAUACUUGGUGUGAAUUGCAGAAUCCCGUGAACCAUCGAGUCUUUGAACGCAAGUUGCGCCCGAGGCUACCUGGCCAAGGGCACGCCUGCCUGGGCGUCACGCCUACCGACGCUCCGUGCCUCCUGCCCCUCACCCCGCCCGUGCGAUUCGGCGGCAGGCACCGAUGCGGAGAUUGGCCCCCCACGCGUCGUUGCGUGGUGGGUCUAAGUGCGGGCCGUCGGUCGGGCUGGACGCGGCGAGCGGUGGAUUGACACGCAUGCCGCCGCCGAAGUGACUCGGCUCGUCGAUGCACCGGAGGAACCCACGACGACGGGCGCCACGUUGAGCGUCCCUCGGAACAUGACCCCAGGUCAGGCGGGGGCACCCGCUGA